GGUGGCAUUUUAUUUUAUUAGAGGAAUCUGUUUUUUAAUCGAUAAUCCACGAUAAAUUUUACUUUUUAUAAAAUUUUAUAUACCUCCGUUUAAAGAAUUUAUUAAUAAAUUUUAUUCUAAAUAGUUUCUAAAAAAGUAGGUAAAGGUGUAGACUACUAAAAAGAUAAAAUGGAUUACAUUUAAUAAAAUUAAAGGAUUAAUUAUGAUAAUAUUUUAUUAAAAAGGAUUUAAAAGUAAAUUUUAAAUAAUAUUUUAUUUUGAAUGAGAUAAUAAAUGUGUACACAUCGCCCGUCGCUCUU
rnacentral:rRNA from 1 species